UUAGUGGCGGACGGGUGAGUAACGCGUGGGUAACCUGCCUCGUACUGGGGGACAACAGUUGGAAACGACUGCUAAUACCGCAUAAGACCACAGAGUCGCAUGACUCAGGGGUAAAAACUCCGGUGGUACGAGAUGGACCCGCGUCUGAUUAGCUAGUUGGUGGGGUAACGGCCCACCAAGGCGACGAUCAGUAGCCGGCCUGAGAGGGUGAACGGCCACAUUGGGACUGAGACACGGCCCAAACUCCUACGGGAGGCAGCAGUGGGGAAUAUUGCACAAUGGGCGAAAGCCUGAUGCAGCGACGCCGCGUGAGUGAAGAAGUAUCUCGGUAUGUAAAGCUCUAUCAGCAGGGAAGAAAAUGACGGUACCUGACUAAGAAGCCCCGGCUAACUACGUGCCAGUAGCCGCGGUAAUACGUAGGGGGCAAGCGUUAUCCGGAUUUACUGGGUGUAAAGGGAGCGUAGACGGUUUGGCAAGUCUGAUGUGAAAUCCCGGGGCUUAACUCCGGAACUGCAUCUGAAACUGUAGAUCUUGAGUAUCGGAGAGGAAAGUGGAAUUCCCAGUGUAGCGGUGAAAUGCGUAGAGAUUGGGAGGAACACCAGUGGCGAAGGCGGCUUUCUGGACGAUUACUGACGCUGAGGCGCGAAAGCGUGGGGAGCAAACAGGACUAGAUACCCUGGUAGUCCACGCUGUAAACGAUGAAUACUAGGUGUAGGUGGUUUUGAAACCUUCUGUGCCGCAGCAAACGCAAUAAGUAUUCCACCUGGGGAGUACGACCGCAAGGUUGAAACUCAAAGGAAUUGACGGGGACCCGCACAAGCAGUGGAGUAUGUGGUUUAAUUCGAAGCAACGCGAAGAACCUUACCAAGGCUUGACAUAUAGGUGCAUAAGCUUAAUCGCCUAAACCCUUCGGGGCACUUAUACAGGUGGUGCAUGGUUGUCGUCAGCUCGUGUCGUGAGAUGUUGGGUUAAGUCCCGCAACGAGCGCAGCCCUUGUCAUUAGUUGCCAGCAUUCGGUUGGGCACUCUAAUGAGACUGCCGGUGAUAAAUCGGAGGAAGGUGGGGACGACGUCAAAUCAUCAUGCCCCUUACGUCUUGGGCUACACACGUACUACAAUGGCUGUUACAGAAGGAAGCGAAGGAGCAAUCCGCAGCAAAUCCCCAAAGGCAGUCUCAGUUCGGAUUGUGGGCUGCAACCCGCCCGCAUGAAGUCGGAAUUGCUAGUAAUUGCAGGUCAGCAUACUGCAGUGAAUACGUUCCCGGGUCUUGCACUCACCGCCCGUCA
rnacentral:rRNA from 1 species